UACGUAGGGUCCAAGCGUUGUCCGGAUUUAUUGGGCGUAAAGAGCUCGUAGGCGGCUCAGUAAGUCGGUCGUGAAAUGCCGGGGCUCAACCCCGGGACUGCGUCCGAUACUCCCGAGCUGGAGGCAGGUAGGGGAGAUCGGAAUUCCUGGUGUAGCGGUGAAAUGCGCAGAUAUCAGGAGGAACACCGGUGGCGAAGGCGGAUCUCUGGGCCGUAACUGACGCUGAGGAGCGAAAGCGUGGGGAGCGAACAGG
rnacentral:rRNA from 1 species